rnacentral:rRNA from 1 species
AAACUAACAAGGAUUCCCCUAGUAGCGGCGAGUGAAGCGGGAAGAGCUCAAAUUUGUAAUCUGGCGUCUUUCAGGCGUCCGAGUUGUAAUCUAUAGAAGUGUUUUCCGUGCUGGACCAUGUCCAAGUCCCUUGGAACAGGGUAUCAAAGAGGGUGACAAUCCCGUACUUGAUAUGGCCACCAGUGCUCUGUGAUACACUUUCUACGAGUCGAGUUGUUUGGGAAUGCAGCUCAAAAUGGGUGGUAAAUUCCAUCUAAAGCUAAAUAUUGGCGAGAGACCGAUAGCGAACAAGUACCGUGAGGGAAAGAUGAAAAGCACUUUGGAAAGAGAGUUAAACAGUACGUGAAAUUGUUGAAAGGGAAACGAUUGAAGUCAGUCGUGUUCAUUGGACUCAGCCGGUUCUUCCGGUCUAUUUCCUUUGAACGGGUCAACAUCAGUUUUGUCCGGUGGAUAAAGGCAGAGAGAAAGUGGCUCCCUCGGGAGUGUUAUAGCUUUUUGUCACAUACACUGGAGGAGACUGAGGACUGCAGCUCGCCUUUUGGCCGGGGUUCGCCCACGUUCGAGCUUAGGAUGUUGACA